AAUCAACGCUGGCGGCGUGCCUCAGACAUGCAAGUCGAACGCGAAAUUUCCCUUCGGGGAGAAAGUAGAGUGGCGCACGGGUGAGUAACACGUAGGUAAUUUGCCUUUGGGUGGGGAAUAACUCAGGGAAACUUGAGCUAAUACCGCAUAAUGCAGCGGCUCGACAUCGAGACAGUUGUUAAAGCGGGGGAUUGGAGGCAAUCCGACCUCGCGCCUAAAGAGAAGCCUGCGGCAGAUUAGCUAGUUGGUAAGGUAAUGGCUUACCAAGGCGACGAUCUGUAACCGGCCUGAGAGGGCGGUCGGUCACACUGACACUGACAUACGGGUCAGACUCCUAC
rnacentral:rRNA from 1 species